rnacentral:misc_RNA from 1 species
GUUUUGUUACUUUCAUCUUACGACAAUGAAUGGUAAAUAUUGCAAUUACGCCCGUGGAUUAAUUAAGAAUGCUUAAAUCUCACUGCAGUGUCAUUCAAUCCAAAAUAACUUGACCGAUGAAGACCGUUAACUGUGUUCGAAUUUCCUCUUCAGAAUAAUUUAAUGUGUGCCAAUCCAAUGACCAAAGGUGAAGUUACCACACUUGAAAUUUAUUGACACAUUUAUGUAGCUACCCAUUUAUCGAUUGAUUUUAAUUUAUACUGUUUCUAUGAUUAUAAGACUAUGAUCAUACGGUUGAUUUAGUUCGUAAACUCUUAUAUUGCCAAGGCGCCGUUGAAAACUUGCAUGUAUCUGCUGACACCAACUAUGGAUCAUUUGUAGAUCUACCACAUUCAACACAACAUGGAAACUACAACAGGUACAAAUCCACAUCCACCUCAGUGUGAUAAUGACAAGGUAGAAGUAAACAUUCAUAAUGACAACAUAGAACAAAACAUUCCGACAGAGAAAGAAUUGGGUUGUGGCAUUGUCAAUAAAAAUGAAAGUGAGUUGGGCAAUUUAGAAAGUGGGGUUGUGACAACUGAAGAUAUUGUGACAACUGAAGAGACUGAGGAUGAUACUCAAGGUGGAGGGUCUUUAGAGUCAGAGGAUAGCAGUGAAGGGACAGUAGUUACUAAAGUCAAGUACAGGACCUGGCAGAAUACCAGCUCAGAUAGCUGGGAGUCUGGGAAUGUGAUUUCUCCUGUAGAAGCAGAAGAGCUGGAAAAUGAUGCACUGGAACGGGAAAAGCAUGAUUCCAUGCGUGAAGGAGAAGAUGGGGGAGAGAGAGGAGGAUCUUCAGAGGAAUUGCCUAGGCCAGAGAGCUUGAAUCGUUCCCAAUCACUGCAACACUACGAGAAGAAACGGAGUCAGAGUGAUGGAGUAGCCAUUGAGUGUUAUAAUAAUUUGGCUAAUGUGCCUACCGGGAAAAAGGACCCAGAGUUUGAUAACAUCGAGGAGACAAUGUUGUCCAAGAGUAUGCCGCAAGGAGUAGUUAUCAAGAAAGGGGAGUUGUUUGAGUUUGUGGCAGAUGAUUUGCAGGAGAAAAUCAGACAAAGCAGUCCUCUACCAAAAACUGGUAUACUUAUCUGUGUGAUGUUGUAAUAUUUACUAUCAGAACUGAACAUUUCCAAAAGCAUUACUAGAUAUAUUUUUAUGUUUGAUGUCAGAUUAAUGAUUCAUUGAUCACUUGAAUUUACGAGAGGGGUACGAUAUUUUCCGAUUUUUUGCAAGCCAAUAGUUUUUAAUCUGGAGAUCGAGUCAAAAAUAUAAUUGGCCAACAUCCACUGACUUUCAAAGGGGGAGGGAUGCAGAUAUUGGUUAAAUGCAAUUAUGUUUAUAAUUAAUCUUGCCAUCAUUGAAGUGUUUACUUUUAUUUCCAAAUAUUUCACAACUAUUACCAACACAAAAUAAGAUACCUUUAAUAGUACGUCACUCUUUCUGAAUCAGAAUCCAGUGGAUUGAGUAGCCGGACCUCCAGCUGUAGAAGCAUUGCCAUUUCCCCACAGUCCGAUCGACAUUCCACCUAUUGACCCCAUGGCAGUGAUGGAGUUGGAGAUGGCGGCUAAACGAGUGGCCGACAAUGUGGACCUACUGAUGGGAAACCUCCGGUCAAAUCUACACAAGAUGUCAGCAAUCACAGUUGGAUGUUUGGAUGCCUAUAAGAAGUCUGUGGACACUACAUGUGAUUCUGUUGAUAGCAGUAUUAAGUCGAUGUAUGCUCUUAUGGCGAAAUGCGAGGAGUUGAGUAAAAGCAUGCAGCCUGUGUACCAGCUAGGCAAUCAAAUAAAAGAAAUCAAGAGACUUUUGGACAGGUUUGAAUCCCAGCUUUCAGAAAAAGGUGGCAAAACCAAGACAGGAUGAUUCUACAGUGCUCGUUACAAUGAGAAGUAAACAACAUUGGAGUCAACAUCCAGUAGCUGUCAGUCAAAUCCAUCUUCAGUACACAGAGAUUACCUGCAGGCCAUUAGAUUUGACUUUUUGUCCAGUGUUGUUCUUACUUUCAAAUAAUGCAUUCCCAAUAUUGAAGAUCUCAUCCUUGAUAAACUAUCCAUACAACCAACUACCCACAAGUUUUUUACACAGUUAAAAAACUGAUUGGUUCAAUGAUGUAUUUGGUUAUUUUGAUUUUUUUGUUUUAAAAGUUUAGCCCAGCCAAUGUUAUAAGAAACAGCUAGCAAGUAAACAAAGUUUCCUUGCAGUAGAAAAUUUGAUAUAAAAUUUUGUCAGGACAAUAUUCCAAUACUCUUGCUCAGAUAUUAAUUCAAUUAAAUGCUAUAUCUAUUUAAAGCAUGCUUGUCAAUUUGUUUUUGAUAUUUACUAAAACUAGUGUACAUAAUUGCAGGGUCAUGUGCAAUAUAAUAAUGUUUUCCUUUUUUUACCAGAAGAGCCUCAGUCAUGUUAUUUUCAUUGUCAUGUAACAUUGGUGUCUCACUUACCUCAUUUUAGGAUAUAUGAAAUAUGAGCUUACAGUGUAUAUAAAAAUAAAAAGAUUUAAU